rnacentral:rRNA from 1 species
CAGCAGCCGCGGUAAUACGUAGGGUGCAAGCGUUAAUCGGAAUUACUGGGCGUAAAGCGUGCGCAGGCGGUUUGUUAAGACAGAUGUGAAAUCCCCGGGCUCAACCUGGGAACUGCAUUUGUGACUGGCAAGCUAGAGUGUGGCAGAGGGGGGUGGAAUUCCGCGUGUAGCAGUGAAAUGCGUAGAUAUGCGGAGGAACACCGAUGGCGAAGGCAGCCCCCUGGGCCAACACUGACGCUCAUGCACGAAAGCGUGGGGAGCAAACAGGAUUAGAUACCCCGGUAGUCCCUGUCUCUUAUAC